GUUCUCAUGAGAAAUUUCCCGUAGUAGCAUGAUCUCGCGGAUGGCGGUGGGGGAGACGCCGUCGCCGUCCUUGGACUGUUUGAACUUCUUGAUAGCGAUGCAGGCCUUGCCGACCUUGGUUCGCGCCAGGAACACCAGCCCGUACGUCCCCUCUCCGAUCUUGCCCAACAGGUCGUACUGCUGGAGCCACGCCGGACGGUUGCUGCCGCUGCGUCCGUCGCCCAUCGCCGGCCGGUUAUUG
rnacentral:misc_RNA from 1 species